rnacentral:rRNA from 1 species
CCCUUAGAUGUUCUGGGCCGCACGCGCGCUACACUGAUGCAUUCAACGAGCCUAGCCUUGCCCGAGAGGUCCGGGUAAUCUUUGAAACUGCAUCGUGAUGGGGCUAGAUUAUUGCAAUUAUUAAUCUUCAACGAGGAAUGCCUAGUAAGCGUGAUUCAUCAAAUCGCGUUGAUUACGUCCCUGCCCUUUGUACACACCGCCCGUCGCUCCUACCGAUCGAGUGUGUUGGUGAGGAGUUUGGAUUGGCCUCGGAAGGUGGUUCGCCACCGUCCGUAGCUGAGAAGUUCUCCAAACCGCCCCACUUAGAGGAAGGAGAAGUCGUAACA